GAAAGCUUCCCAGAAAUGGGGCAGAUAGGCUCAACUCCCAGUCAGUACCUGUGAGUAUGAGGCUUGGAUCUCACAGAAGGGCAAACUGCAGCUCCUGCCCGAAACUUGCAAGGCAGCCUGCUCAACACAAGGCAGCCUGCUCGACCCUGCUCGACCAAAGCCAAGGGUUCAGAGUAAAGCUAUAGACACAGGUUUGCUUGAGGAGCCUGCAGAUUUUCCUCCAGAGCUGCUGUGAGACGAAAAUGCCCCAAUCUUAUGAACAGGUCAAACAGUUAUUAAAGCUCUCACAGGACUUUAAAGGAAAUGCUCAUAGAACAAAAGGGGAAUAUGGCGUCGCCCAGAGAUGGAUCAAAUAAUGUUUUAUUGACUUUAAGAUUUUAAAUGUCAAUGACAGAUAACAAAGCUGAUGAGAGACAAUGGGUUAUGGGAAAAACUGCUGAAGGAAAUCAUCCUGUUUAUGUUAAGGAUAUUCUAACCUCAGAACUGAAGGAAGAAAAUGUGUUAUUUUGGCAGUGCGAUCUUUGCCUUUGUUUCAACGGAAGAAAACCUAUGAGUGGAUUUCUUCCAAAGUGAUAAAAACCACAUCUGACAGGGGAAGGAUCCCUUGAAGAUCUUGGCUGCAAGCAGAAAGGAAAAAGAUCAUGAAGACUAACAAAACAGGUUUGCUCCUGGCAGCACCCCAAUUCUACUUCGAAGAAGAUGAACGUCAAAGAACCUCCUUAUGGCGUUUCCUUCAUAUGUGGCAAACUAGAAACUGCCCUUGCUUCAGCUGCUGACAGUAAGCUCUCUGAACUGGACAAGAGAGAUGCAGGGAAGUCGACUGCUGAGAUUGACCGAGACAGGACUUCUCACCAAUGCCAGACGAGAAGUUAUAGCGUCAAGAACAAAUGCUGGGUCCAUUCGAACAGGGGUCAGCAAGCUGAGGUUCUCCAGACACUGCCUGGUCCACACUGUUCUCAGGACAUGUGACCGACAGAUGCCUUCCUGCUACAGAACAGUUAUAACACUGUUGUGAUAAAGACUGUACUGCCUAAGUAAAAUGCUAAUUGGUCAUCUGAAGUGAAAAGAAGUCUUCUAAACACUUGGGUAAAAUGUACAUCACAAGCUAUGUCAGCUGCCUAUUGAGAACUGCUCCAGGUGACAUGGUCCAGGAAUGGAGUCCUAUGAAAAUUCAGAGUGGUUUCUUUUAACACUCCCAAAAAACAAUAGGGUUGUGUGACCUCAGCUUCUUCAAAACACAGAAUUAUUCUUGGAAUGUAUCUUCAUAUUCCUCCAGGGGAUACCAGAGAGGAUCGAGUUUACUUCAGAUUACUCCUUAUUGCCUGUUGUUAUUCAGGUAAACUCUCCUUGACCUGCCUCUACAGAAAAAGAUGUUUUGCCAUACACAGAUUGUCCUUGUGAUUGUACACAACUUGGACUCAUGAGAACUUUACUCAUGUGACCUUCCCUAACACUCUAUAUGGUCCGAUGCUCUGAAUAAUGUUGGCUGUUACACGAGACUUUAUGACACGAGACUACACAAGUCUGCCUCAUUUAUCAGCUCCAUUCUCCCAGGUCCCCACUGCCUCUAGAGCAGUGAGAGUUAAGCAUGGUAAGGUGUUUUACAUUUCCAUUGAAACUCAAACUGAACUAGUGAAUUUUUAACCCAUGCAUCUCACGUGCUGAACAGCAAAAGGUCAGUGCUGCCGUUCCCUGUGUUCAUGGAAUUUUGGUGGAGUGUAUGUAUUGUGAUAAAGACUUUGAAUUCAAAUGGAAGAAGGAAUAAUGAUUAUAACACAGUUUUCUGAAUGUGUUUAUCAUAAAUCCUACCAACGAUGGGUACAAAUAUCAUUAGUAAGGACAAACAU
rnacentral:sRNA from 1 species